rnacentral:rRNA from 1 species
GACGAACGCUGGCGGCGUGCUUAACACAUGCAAGUCGAACGGAAAGGCCCUUCGGGGUCCUCGAGUGGCGAACGGGUGAGUAACACGUGGGUGAUCUGCCCUGCACUUUGGGAUAAGCCUGGGAAACUGGGUCUAAUACCGAAUAGGACCACGCGCUUCAUGGUGUGUGGUGGAAAGCUUUUGCGGUGUGGGAUGGGCCCGCGGCCUAUCAGCUUGUUGGUGGGGUAAUGGCCUACCAAGGCGACGACGGGUAGCCGGCCUGAGAGGGUGACCGGCCACACUGGGACUGAGAUACGGCCCAGACUCCUACGGGAGGCAGCAGUGGGGAAUAUUGCACAAUGGGCGCAAGCCUGAUGCAGCGACGCCGCGUGAGGGAUGACGGCCUUCGGGUUGUAAACCUCCUUCAAUAGGGACGAAGCGCAAGUGACGGUACCUAUAGAAGAAGCACCGGCCAACUACGU